rnacentral:circRNA from 1 species
GACAGCGGGGAUUUUCAGUUUGAUUGACACCCUGUGGCCCCCAGCGAUACCUCUGAAAACACCUGGCCGCGACCAGCCCUGUGAAGAGAUAAAAACUCAUCUGCCUCCUCCAGCCUUGUGUUACAUCCUCACAGCUCAUCCAAAUCUGGGACAAAUUGAUAUAAUUGACGAAGACCCCAUUUAUAAGCUUUACCAGCCUCCAGUUACCCGCUGCUUAAGAGACAUUCUCCAGAUGAAUGAUCUUGGUACCCGUUGCAGUUUCUAUGCCACGGUGAUUUACCAAAAACCACAG